rnacentral:sRNA from 1 species
ACCUAAACCCGAUGGCACGGAUGCCGAUAGCGUAUCAUUACUCUUUUAUUAAUAGCUAUCGGCAGGAGGAACAGCGGGACAGAAC